AUUGAACGCUGGCGGCAUGCCUUACACAUGCAAGUCGAACGGCAGCGGACCUUCGGGUGCCGGCGAGUGGCGAACGGGUGAGUAAUAUAUCGGAACGUACCUUUCAGUGGGGGAUAACGUAGCGAAAGUUACGCUAAUACCGCAUAUUCUGUGAGCAGGAAAGCAGGGGAUCGCAAGACCUUGCGCUGAUUGAGCGGCCGAUAUCAGAUUAGCUAGUUGGUGAGGUAAAGGCUCACCAAGGCGACGAUCUGUAGCGGGUCUGAGAGGAUGAUCCGCCACACUGGAACUGAGACACGGUCCAGACUCCUACGGGAGGCAGCAGUGGGGGAAUUUUUGGACAAUGGGCGCGAAGACCUGAUCCAGCCAUGCCGCGUGAGUGAAGAAGGCCUCGGUUGGUUAAGUACGUCUUUCGGUCCGGGUAACGGAAAGUACGACGAC
rnacentral:rRNA from 1 species